CCUACGGGAGGCUGCAGUGAGGAAUAUUGGUCAAUGGCCGGAAGGCUGAACCAGCCAAGCCGCGUGAAGGACGAAGGUGCCAAGCAUUGUAAACUUCUUUUGUCAAGGGACAAAAUCAGGCUCGAGAGCCUGACCGAGGGUACUUGAAGAAAAAGCAUCGGCUAACUCCGUGCCAGCAGCCGCGGUAAUACGGAGGAUGCGAGCGUUAUCGGGAUUUAUGGGGUUUAAAGGGUGCGUAGGCGGACUGUUAAGUCAGCGCUAAAAGCCCGGGGCUAAACCCCGGCGAGCCGUUGAAACUGGCUGUCUUGAGAUGUGGAGAGGUAUGCGGAAUGCGCAGUGUAGCGGUGAAAUGCUUAGAUA
rnacentral:rRNA from 1 species